rnacentral:rRNA from 1 species
CCCUUAGAUGUUCUGGGCCGGACGCGCGCUACACUGAUGCAUUCAACGAGUUUCUUCCUGGUCCGAGAGGAAUGGGUAACCUUUUGAAAGUGCAUCGUGAUAGGGAUAGACUAUUGCAAUUAUUGGUCUUCAACGAGGAAUUCCUAGUAGACGUAGUUCAUCAGACUGCAUCGAUUACGUCCCUGCCCUUUGUACACACCGCCCGUCGCUCCUACCGAUUGAAUGCUCAGGUGAGCCAUUCGGACUUUCAUCAUGCUGGUUUCCAGUUUUGAUGAAGGAAAGUCUUGCGAACCUUAUCAUUUAGAGGAAGGAGAAGUCGUAACA